UUUUUAUUGUGUGCAUGUGUAGCUGGGCUUAAGGUAAUUGCACAGUUAACCAGUUAAUUGUGCAAUACCUGUAACAUGUAGAGGGAGUCUUAAUGAGCAACAAAAUUGAUAUUGCUCCUUUAUUUAGCUCUAUGAAAUGGAAGGAAAGCACCUGGAUUUGUGAAACUUUAAUUAAGCAGGACUGGUGAGCCUCAUUACAUAAUCAGGAGUGCAGGAAAGGGAUGGUACUCUCAUUAAAUAAAGGACUUCUGAUGGAUUAGACAGCUUUUGCAUAAGAUAUUUUAUUUAAAGAAGGAGCUACUUAAUAAGCAGUGCUUCAAAAAUGAAGCAGUUCUAGCUUUCCUUAAUGAGGUAUUGUGCUUUCAGUUUUUGCCCCAAACAUUUACUCCUACACACCUGUCGAAACAUUUUCUAACAGUCAAGUCUUCAACCUAUCUUUCAUAGACAAUACAAAACUACUUCACCCACCUCCUUUCUAUCCCCCACAAAGCAUAAACAGGAGUACCCAUAUUUUAAUUUAUAAACUUCUGAGCAUACUAAGGUUGAUGAACAUACUACUCAGACCUCCCACCCCUACUCAAUCACAUUCCCUCUGCAUAUUUGGAACUCCCCUUCUUGAUUUUUAAAUAUGUGGCUCUACUCUGAAAAAUUACUUUGUAAGAACGGCAUUACAGUGUUCUGUAUUAUUUUUAGACUUCCAAAUUGAACCUGCUCAAUUUGCAAGCAUGUGGGAGAGAGAGAGAGAAUUUCCAUUUAUGUAUAUUUGAAAAUAAAGGGUUUGUUUUGUGGUACCUCUGUCUUUAAAAGUAGAUAGUCUACAAUUCUGGUUGAGUUAGUUCCUUUGAUGAUGUCUGAACAAGUAUAAAAUGCAGGUUGCUCACCUAGAACUGAAUGGGUUCUGUUAUAGUAAUAAGAGUAAAAAAUGGUAAAAACCUCUAUUAAUCAGGAUACAAAUGUGAUGCUGAUCACAGGCAGCAAACAAAUGAUUCAGAAGACAGCACUUUUAUGAAAUCGCUGUCUGAGGCAUAAUUGCAUUUUAAAACCUUUUCUUGUCCAGUCUACAAAUAAUAAAGGUAAAGAAUCGCAUUCAACUUUUGAGGAAUGUUUAGUAAUUGUAUAGUACCUAUUUAGAAUCUUUCGAAGGAAUUUUUUGAAGCAUUGAAGAAUGCACACAGUUACCAAAACCACUUAUCCAGUAUUGAGUUCAAUUGCUUAAUCAAAACACAAAUAUGUAUGUGCAAAGGACAUAUCAAGAAGUGCAAGUAAGCAUUCCAAAUGCUUAGUAAUCGCUUGAGAAAACACCAAAAGGCUAAACUGACUCAGUGGUUCUGCAAAGAACUUAAAGUGAUUCACAACAAUAAAAUGUGAAACUCUUCUGAGUUACCGGAAUACAACUUCUGUGAAAAUUGAUGAGAAUUGCACUGGCGUCCCUGAGAGCAGAAUGUGACUGUAAGUCAGGGGUAGGCAAAAUACAGCCCAUGGACUGUAUCCAGCCUGCCAACUAGAUCCAGCCGUCUGAGGGCUCCUGCCAGUCGAUUAGAUAUGGCUUGCAGCUGCCCCUUCAGCAUUCCACAUGGCCUGCAUGCCCCAGUCAGCCCCUCCACAGCUUGUUGAGCUGGGUCAGAGCAGCCCUGGGCUGGCAGGUUGACCCAGCAGGCCCCCUGCCAGCCAGAGCUGCUCCAACCCUUGCUCAAUGUGCUGCAAUCCCAGGUUCACAUUCAAACACAUCACCUGGGAGCAAUAAAAUGUGGUGUGGUAUACACUGGAGUUUAUUGCUGUGCAUUAAUAGCACUUGUAGAUACACCAACAGUGUCCUGUUCUUAAGUGUCAAGUCAAGACACCUGGCCUGUCCUGGGUAGGAUGAGCAAGAAGGAACUGCUAACAAGAGUAUUACUUGGGGUUUGGGGAGUGUGAAAGACCCUACCUGAGACUGAGGAAGGGAAGAGCAAAGAAGUGUGGCUAUACCCCAUGUAUUUUUACUGGAGGAAGUGCCAUGGAGGUCCUAAAGUAGUUAAUAUUAACUACUAGAAGUAGUUAAUAAUCAUUUUGGGUAAUCACAUCUUUGCAUGUCAUGUGUGUGCUCACACUUCAUGGUGACAACCUCUACUAAAAAUUUAGGUAGUAAUCCCUUCUGUUCUUCAGUAGGGUUAUGCAAAUUUCUUCAUAUUUAGGCUGCGUACAAAUGUACUUUCUACUAAGGGAAAUUUCUGAGACGUAUCUCCAGGUAGAAAUCCUUCCAGCAGAGGGAUCAGUACAGACAUGCAGCCUGCAGCUGCCCCCACUGUGGGGAGGGCAAGGAGAACUGUGCCUGUCCCUCCUCCUUUGCCUGUGGGGAGUAGAGCAGUGGGGAAAGACUCCCUGCAUCUGCCCCAGACCAGGCUCCAGGAACAGCCUCCUUCACUCACUCCCAGUCUCAGGGAACAGAAUGGAGGUAGCACUGGGGCAAAGCCCCCAGCUCCUAUCCCACAUGGGGCAGCGUCCAGCUUGGGGAAGAGGCAAAGAGCAGUGGCAGCUGCUCUUCUCUCCCAGACCUGUCCAAGAGGUGAAGGUAGUAGCUGGGCACUUCUCUGACUUGGGGAAGGCCAGAUCAGUCUGGGAGGGGAGAGAAUUAGCAGGGCAAAGUCCUUCUGCCUGAAGCAGCUGAGCCUCUGCUCUGCUCCCAGUCUCAGGAAGUAGAACAGAGGGAGCAGUGGGGUGAACCCUCACCCAUCUCUGACUUCUGGGACUCAAUGCGAGAAGUAGGCAAUGGGCUUGCAACACUGUCCCCUGUGCUCAGCUCCCAGCUUGUGCAGUUGAGGCAACAGAGCAGUGGAGAAAAGCCUCUGCCUGUUCUCAUACCUGAGACUUUGGUGUGAGGAGCAGGCAGCAGCUUUGCCCUGCUACCCAAGUAAGAGGCCCCUGAGCCCAGUUCCCCACUGGCUGCCUUCCCCUUGCCUCCUCCACCAUUCAGGUAAGCAGUGGGUGCAGCAGUUUAAAAGCUAGCAUGGUCAGGAGCUGAGCUUAGGGAUGCUUUCCCCAGCCCAGUUCCCCCUGCCUGGCUUCCCCUUCACACUGAGAACUCUUGAGCUGAUCAGCUCCUGGUGCCUGGGAGCAGGGUAGAGAGAAAGGUGGGGCAAAACUUUUCAUACUGAGAACUGUGGUGUGACAAGCAGGAGGGAAUAGCUAGUGGCUGCUCCUCUCCUCCCCUUCUAGUGUAUGGGAGGGACAGGAGUACAUGCUUCCCCCCCUACCCUACCUUCUCAAGAUCAAGUUGUCCCAGGUCUCAGGAAGGCAUGGGAGUCUCUCCCUCAGUUAAGUCAUGAGGAGGGUGUACAAACAUUCAGUCUCCUAGGAAAAAAACUCUCCAAGGAUUGACUUACCAGGGUUAUUUUUCUCCUGAUGCAGCUAUUUUUUUGCUCCAGGAGUUAAAGCCUGAAUGUCUGUACACUUCUGGUUUCUACUGGGAUAACACUGAUUUUCCUGGUAGAAACUGAACAUCUAUAACAUAACCUUAGUUUCACUUUGGCUUUCUCAUAAAAAGACUUCAGUCAAACUUCAGAAUACAUUAUUUCAUAAUAUUUGUUUAUAUUUCUGAGAAAUAUGAUGUAGUAGACUGCCAGCUCAAGGGGCCUGGGUGCUGCAUAUGAAAACUGUGAGAGGUUGGACAAUGUCUCUUGCACAAAAAUGUAAGACAAUUGCUGGGGAAAGACUGGAUCAUGGUAACAAGACUGCCACAAGAAUACCAAAUUCCGCUAAUGGCUUGCAACACAUUAGGCGUCAAGACAGUGGAGUGCUUGUGAUACCCAAUACCAGACUCAUGCCCUAAAAUAAUUAAAGUGAUAGUUAAAAUUGUUAACAGAGACCUAACAUGCUUAUCACAUGUAUAUUUCCAAGAUAGAGCCAAAGGAAAGGCCAAGCCAGUGAAGGCAAGGUAACUACAUAUGCAUUUCAAUUGAACUAGCAACUAAAAAAGACAAAAGACUAAAUAAUAUACAUUUCAAACAAACCUGUAAAAGGUGUACUGAAUACAGGAAGGAUGUCCUGUACGUGACAUGCUAACAUUUCUCCAAACAGGCAUCCAAUGUCUAAGGUGUUACAAAUGUCUCAAUCAUUCAGUGUAUGUCUGGAGUUUUGUAAAUAAGCCAUCACCAGUACAAGCUACUGCAAAUUUGCCACAUUGAUACAUACCCAAAGCCAGGCCUGGUAACACCUCUAAGCAUCCUGUUUGACCAUGAACACCACAUGCCCCUGGAGGCUGGCGGGGGCAUGGUGAGCUUCCGCAGGCACUGUCAGCAGCAGGAGCAUGGCGGCAGCGAGUGGUGAGCUCCUGCAGGUAGCCACGGCACUGUUAGGGGGAGAGAGGAUAGUGAGUGCUGACUGGUGGUUGGCAACCACCCGCAUGCACUGCUGGCAGUGUCAGCGGCAGCCAGCAGUGAUCGUGGACUGCCUGCAGACACUGCUGGCAGUGCUGGCAGCAAAGCGGGGGGGACCAAGCAGCAACCGCCCACAGGUGCUGCCAGCAGUGUCAGCAGCACCUUUUUGCAGGGGAUGAACAACCAAGCUCAGGGGGUGCAUGUGCACCCACACACACCCCCUACACAUCGCCAGUGUGUUUGAUCACUCAAGGCCCAUCACCUGUACUUGACCUAUAAUUGUAGGGGCUGCAUGAAACACAAGUCUUCACACCUAGACAAAUCCAAAAACAGGAACCAGGCAAUUUAACAAUUGUAAUAUGAUGGUCUCCCUUUUCCUCCCUGUUUUGUUCUGACUUUAAUCGGCCAACUAUCAAUGAAAAAUGCUUUGAAGCUAUACAAUUAAACAGUAUAAAGCAAGACAGAACUGCCAGCAAGGUGUAUGCAGUCCAGGAAAGACCAGGAAGCCAUCCUGCCACCCAGCUGAUAAGCAAAGGAUCCAUGCUGUGAGGCUGUACGAGAACUGCUUCCUGCCUGCAUUGGUUAACCCAAGAUUGGUGUAUGUUUAGUUGCCAAGUCCAUGGUCCAUAGAUGAAGGACAGCCUUCAGAAGACUGACAGCCAGAAGGUCGUCAACCCUUGGAUGCAGGUGGUGCAGAUGAGACAGGAUCAACCAAGAGCAGGACGUGUGGAGAGCAGAGUCUGCCUUGGCCAUGGAUGCGGUUCAAGCAGAUGUCUGUUCAGAAGUCUACCUGAUGGCUAAUGGUUGGCUGAUGUACAAGCAACUCCCCCAAUAUUACUGCAGUCCUACCAAUACUGGUAUUUUGAGGAAAGCUCCUAUGAAGACCGCAGGGCUGAGGGUUUCUUAAAUGAUCCAAGUUAUCAAGAGUAAGGAAGGAGCAGCUAAGACAGAACUUAGGAUUUAGCCCACAGCUUCUCAUUUCACCUUCAUGUGUCUAACAAGCACUUACAUAGCCACAUCAUUGCAAAUGUUGACAUUUAGGUUAGAUUCUACAUAGCUAUGCAUGCCCUUUGUUUAUCUCUGAGCGUGCUUCGUAAGCUGCAUUCCAGCUGUGCAGGUGCCUGGCGGAAAUGGAAUCUCCAAGCAAUGCACAUAUGGUAAUGCUAUAAAAAUCCUCAAACUUCAGCUGUUGAUUUUAUCCAUUGAAUAUUAAAGGCUAGAUGCAGUGGGCCAGCUUCAAUGGGAAGACUGGAGACCACUCCAGGCAAUGUCUAGUCCAUGGCUUGGUACAUAAAACAAUUUGCUAACAAGCAGGAGAUGCAGAUUCUAUUUGAGGGAGGCCUAGAACAUGGGUCUCCUGCUCCAUGUGAAAGUGCCCUAGGAUAUUGGGCUAAGAGGUGAGAUAGAUCACUAUAGUUGGAAAUAGAAUUCUAACUAUAGGUAAAUAUACAAAUUGCCAUUACACUGGACAUGAGUGCCACUUAGAUACAUGAAGAUGAAACAGAAGUUCGCUCUUAAGUGUAGAUGCUUCUGCCUCCAAUGGGCAUCCCUAUAUCCAUAUAGCUCUCAAGAUAUUCUGUCUUAGGAUGCAGCACUUCCUUAAUAGUGAUACUCUUACUGUCUCCUUUACCCAUAUUUUACAAUUAGCAUUGACCAGAGAAGGAGGUCAAUCCUUACUGGAGCUAUGCAUUUCUUUCUUAUUUUACAGUAUUACUAUCUUGGGUGAAGAUUCCUGACUGCUCAAAUGAGGGGUAAAUGCCAUGAGAGGCUUUUAGGAGUAGAUGUCCUACCCAUGUUGGAGCUAUAUUAUUUAAAAGUAAAGUAGAGUUAUUUAUAAAAUCUAGUCACAAGGAAAUACUUUGUGUGUAUUUUUACUUGCUUGGGAAAGCAAUGCAUUGUAUUGCUACUUGCACAGCCAACUAUACAAUGUACUGUAAGUAGAAGAUACUGUAAGAUAAUUUUCAUACACCCAUUCAAAUCAUCCAAGACAACUCUCCCAGGUUUGUUUUCCUGAGAGAAAAACUGACCUGUACAGAAGUUCAGACAGAAAAG